GAGAGUGGCGAACGGGUGAGUAACACGUAGGUAAUCUACCUCUGGAUGCGGGAUAGCCUUUAGAAAUAAGGGGUAAUACUGCAUAAAAUCUGAUUAUAAAUAUGGUUGGAUCAAAGGUGCAAUUGCACUGUCUGGAGAUGAGCCUGCGGUCCAUUAGCUUGUGGGUGGGGUAAAGGCCUACCGAGGCUGUGAUGGAUAGCCGGCCUGAGAGGGUGUACGGUCACACUGGGACUGAGACACGGCCCAGACUCCUACGGGAGGCAGCAGCUAAGAAUCUUCCGCAAUGGGCGCAAGCCUGACGGAGCGACGCCGCGUGAAUGAAGAAGGCCGAGAGGUUGUACAGUUCUUUUCUUAGGGAAGAAUAAUUACAGGAGUGGAAAGCCUGUAUGAUGACGUUCACUAAGGAAUAAGUCCCGGCCAAUUACGUGCCAGCAGCCGCGGUAACACGUAAGGGGCGAGCGUUGUUCGGACUUAUUGGGCGUAAAGGGCGUGUAGGCGGUUUUAUAAGGCCUGGUGU
rnacentral:rRNA from 1 species